rnacentral:rRNA from 1 species
AGUGAACGCUGGCGGUAGGCCUAACACAUGCAAGUCGAACGGCAGCACAGUAAGAGCUUGCUCUUACGGGUGGCGAGUGGCGGACGGGUGAGGAAUACAUCGGAAUCUACUUUUUCGUGGGGGAUAACGUAGGGAAACUUACGCUAAUACCGCAUACGACCUACGGGUGAAAGCAGGGGAUCUUCGGACCUUGCGCGAUUGAAUGAGCCGAUGUCGGAUUAGCUAGUUGGCGGGGUAAAGGCCCACCAAGGCGACGAUCCGUAGCUGGUCUGAGAGGAUGAUCAGCCACACUGGAACUGAGACACAGUCCAGACUCCUACAGGAGGCAGCAGUGGGGAAUAUUGGACAAUGGGCGCAAGCCUAAUCCAGCCAUACCGCGUGGGUGAAGAAGGCCUUCGGGUUGUAAAGCCCUUUUGUUGGGAAAGAAAAGCAGCAGGUUAAUACCCCGCUGUUCUGACGGUACCCAAAGAAUAAGCACCGGCUAACUUCGUG